CCAGUUGAAUUUAAGCACAUUAGUUAGUGAAGAAAUUUAACAAGGAUUCCAUCAGUAAUGGGAAAUGAACAUAGAAAAGCCCAAUGUUGAAUCCCUGCCCCAGAGUGGCAUGUUAGAAAUGUGGUAUAUAGAAGAACCAUUCCCCAGUGUUGCUCGCAGGGGACCUAAGUCCUUCUGAAUGAGGCCCAGUCCAUGGACAGCGUGAGUACAGUAGCAGCUCCUGGAGCACUAGGCUUGGGUAUUACUGAACUCAUUACUGGCCUAAGAAUGUAGUCCAAAGUUCGUGGUAAACUCCAUUGAAGGCUAAAACCUAGCACAGAAAUCAAUAUUCCCCAAGUACCACAAGGGAAAAUUGGAGAUAAUUUUGCAGAGUUCAAGAGCAUGUGAAAUUGUUAAGAGGCGUGUGACCUCAGAUCGGAUAUGGUAACCCUACAACCCUGACCAUGGGUAGUGGCCCUGCUCUCUCAGCCCUGGAAACAAGG
rnacentral:ncRNA from 1 species